GAAAAACACUGAAAAAAUAAUAACGUGAUAAUUGAAAGCUGCUCAAACGGAGGAUGUUUCUCUCUCUCUCUCUCCUCUCUUUCUCUCUCUCUGUCUCUCGUAAUUUCCGUAAUAA
rnacentral:ribozyme from 14 species